AACGAACGCUGGCGGCAGGCCUAACACAUGCAAGUCGAGCGAGGACUUCGGUCCUAGCGGCGGACGGGUGAGUAACGCGUGGGAACGUGCCCUUUGCUUCGGAAUAGCCCUGGGAAACUGGGAGUAAUACCGGAUGAGCCCUUUGGGGGAAAGAUUUAUCGGCGAAGGAUCGGCCCGCGUUGGAUUAGGUAGUUGGUGGGGUAAUGGCCUACCAAGCCGACGAUCCAUAGCUGGUUUGAGAGGAUGAUCAGCCACACUGGGACUGAGACACGGCCCAGACUCCUACGGGAGGCAGCAGUGGGGAAUCUUAGACAAUGGGGGAAACCCUGAUCUAGCCAUGCUGCGUGAGCGAUGAAGGCCUUAGGGUUGUAAAGCUCUUUCAGCUGGGAAGAUAAUGACGGUACCAGCAGAAGAAGCCCCGGCUAACUCCGUG
rnacentral:rRNA from 1 species